UAGCGUCUCCUUCUCUCUGAAACCACAAAAGAGAUAAGAGGACAUCACUUCUAACCCUCAGCAAAGUUUUUUACAAUAUGAAGAACCAAUUAUCAACUAUGCCUUCUUCAACCUCCUCACCACACAAACAUGAUGAAAAACACAGAAGUGUUGUUUUGGCCGUGAAAAGUCCGCCCAAGUAUAACAGUAAGCUCUACAUCUGUCAUUUGUGCAACAGAGUGUUCCUAACCCCUCAUGCCCUUGGCGGUCACCAAACUACCACCCCCAAGGACCAAGAAUCGGAGAAGCAGCAGAAGAACCACAAAAAAGAUCAUGACUCCAAAAAUGGUUCGGGCUCUAGUAACUCGGAAAGUCCCAUCUCGAAGGGAAAGAACAACGCUGCUGUGGUGGCGGAAGACUAAAACAAUAUAGGGAUGAUAAAGAGUGUCCCAAAAAGAAAGAGAUCUUGAUUAGCAUCAGCUAGAAUAAUAUUUGGGGCCCCGUGAUUAUCGUUUAUGUCUCUUUGAGAUUUUCAGUUUAGAGGUAUUUUAUAGCUGUUGUGGCUUUUGUUGACCUCAUGUAAUUUUCCAUUCUUAAUUUCAAAUCAUCUGUUGUGUGAUUGGUUAAUGUAAUUCAUGAAUCCUUUGAUUAUCA